AGUGAACGCUGGCGGUAGGCCUAACACAUGCAAGUCGAACGGCAGCACAGUAAGAGCUUGCUCUUACGGGUGGCGAGUGGCGGACGGGUGAGGAAUACAUCGGAAUCUACUUUUUCGUGGGGGAUAACGUAGGGAAACUUACGCUAAUACCGCAUACGACCUACGGGUGAAAGCAGGGGAUCUUCGGACCUUGCGCGAUUGAAUGAGCCGAUGUCGGAUUUGCUAGUUGGCGGGGUAAAGGCCCACCAAGGCGACGAUCCGUAGCUGGUCUGAGAGGAUGAUCAGCCACACUGGAACUGAGACACGGUACAGACUCCUAAGGGAGGCAGCAGUGGGGAAUAUUAGACAAUGGGCGCGAGCCUGAUCCAGCCAUACCGCGUGGGUGAAGAAGGCCUUCGGGUUGUAAAGCCCUUUUGUUGGGAAAGAAAAGCAGCAGGUUAAUACCGCGCUGUUCUGACGGUACCCAAAGAAUAAGCACCGGCUAACUUCGUG
rnacentral:rRNA from 1 species